AGGAUCUUAGGUUAAAAAAACUUGAAGUUUUCAAUACUUCAUAUAAUAAUUUUUAUUAGAUCUUG
rnacentral:tRNA from 1 species